CCCGGUCCUCGGUAGUGGCCUUCAGGAUCUCGACCCGCUCGAUCACCGAGCGAGAGAUCUGCGGGCCUCGAUCGAAGACCGGC
rfam:Nocardioides sp. Root151 contig_2, whole genome shotgun sequence.